UUUUUUUUUUUUUUUUUUUUUAACGUUUUGCAAAAUGCAGCUAUCAAGAUUCGAACUCAAGACCUUUGUAAUAAAAGACCAAUAUAGUAACCAUUGCACCAUCACAUCUUAUCAAUUUUUUUUGAUAACUUAUUUAUAUAAAACAAAAACGCAUAUUUCUUUUUGUCAUUUUUUUUACAAAAUCUAAUUCUCUCAUGGCUCUUUCUUUUUAAUCUUCAACACACACACACACACACACUCUCACUCUCUCCUCUUUUUUUUUUUGUCACUCUUUUUUUAAUCAAACCACUUUAUUUUUAAUUUAUUGAUGUUUUCUUCCAUCUUUUAAUUUUAUUUUUGUCCAUUAAAUUGAAAAAGGUUAAAAAAGAAUUAUUUUUCUUUAACCCAAAUUAUUUAAUGCCACAACUACUCACUUUUAUCUCAUUUUUUUAUUUCUUAUCAAGUUUGCAUUUCUAUUUUCGAUUCUCUUGAUUUCUUUCGAACUCCAAAAUUCCUUUUUUAAAUUGCAAUCUCUAAAUCCCAAAACGUAAAUUAAAAUUUAAGUUCACAAAAUCUAAAUUCUCAUAGACAUGAAUUUUGUAUAAUUUUAAAAUAUUAUGAUAUUUUUUGGUUAGAUCUAAGAUUUUUUUGGUAGAUAUAAUUGAAAUUGAAAUGAAAUUUAUUUAUUUUAACUUAUAAUUUAAAAUUUUUAUUUUUAAAAAAUCAAGUUAUUCAAAAAUAGUAAACUUUUCAUCAUAUAAUGUAUUAAAUUAGUCCAUUACAUGUCUUAUUUUGUACAUAAAUAUUUAUAUAAAUUAUUUUUUAAAAAAUUCAUUGAAUCGAGGUUGAACCGGUCCGAUCGGCUGAAUCUCGACCCUUUCACGUCAUCGAUUCAAUUAAGGGUCCGAUUUUUAAAACAUUGGUAAAUAAAGCCCGCAGGCCCGUUUUACCGGCACUCCUAACUCCUAAGAGUUGCCGAUCGGCCGUACCUCUUUUCCUCGAUGAAUAUGUUGAUUCGUAAUUUGUUGUCUCCUCCUCCGUCUUAAACCCUACUGAGAGUGGCAGAAUCCCAAUUGAUUGAAUCAUCCAUGGCUAUGAUUUCCCACUUGCCCCGUGAUUUGCUUGGUGACAUUCUAAAAUUUCUGCCAGUCAAGGCCCGUCUGUCGAUUCAAAUGCGUAUCGAAAUCAUGGCAUUCUGUAAUCCAGAGUCGUGAAUUUGUGAAGUUGCACCUUCAGAUUCACCAGCACAAGUGUGACGGUGAGAAAAUCUUUAUGCCAACUCAAUUUUGCUCUGCUUAUAAUGAUCCUGAUUUUUACAUCUUGGACACAUCGAGUUUAGCUGGUAGUGAAAAUCCCAGAGCUCAAAAAGUUGAAAUUCCCGUAGGAAGGCGUUGUAUUCUUCUAUCUACAAUUGUUUGUGCUUGUAAUGGUUUGCUCUUUAUUGCUUUGGAUAAUGAAAGGGUUUUGUUCGUGUGGAACCCCUCCACGGGAAAAUUGAGAAGGAUUCCAACACUGAAGUCAUCAUCAUCACAUUUUGAUCUGUUAUAUGGGUUUGGAUAUGAUUCACUGCAUGAUGAUUACAAAAUUCUUAGAGUUUGUUACGACAAUGGUACCUAUGAUUGUUGGUUGUUUUCGUUGAAAGAAAAUACCUGGAGAAAAUUAAAUGAUCGGGUUCUGAAUGGUUAUGGGACUUGCAACAUCGAUCAGGUUUUGAAUGAUGCUUACACUGGGGCUGAAAAACGUGCUGUUAUUGUCUGUGUUAAUGAUUCCGCCUACUUUAUCGUGCAAAAAGAAGGAAAGAAGUAUAAAGUUUUGUCUGUCAGUUUGGCUGAAGAAAGAUUUGUUGAGAUGUUGCCUCCUCCUUGUGAGGUUGUGGGAGCUGUCCCAAUCUUGAAGGUUUUGGCAGGACGGCUUAGUCUGCAAUGGAGGACUUCUGCCAACCACGAUUUUGUGGUGUGGACAUUGAUGGAUGAUGGAAAUAGCAGCUAUUGGACUAAGAUUAUAUCUAUUCUGUGUUCGGAAACACUGGUGGGCCUGGAACCAAUUUGCAUGAUGCGAAAUGGACAUUUUGUGGUUAGGACGAAGCCUGAAAGGGAACUUUUCAUAUAUGACAUGAAAAAGAAGGCAUUUCAACAAGUAUUCAAGAAUGAGAAUCCAGAUGUUCAUAUCUGCAGUUUCAAGAAUACUGUGGUAUACACAGAAAGUUUAGUUCAUCCGUGUGAUUAUGGGGACAAGGUUGAGGAGUGGACGUCAGCAAUUGAAGACAUGAAAGAGGUUGGUUUCUUGCUGCCUUAUCAUUUGUUUGAUCAACUGCUUGUUUCAUCUUGUUUGGUGUUUGUUAACUUUUGUUCAGUUUAUCUGAAUCAAAAAGUAAUAAGUUGCAAAUCUUCUUACUCAGUAGUACUGAAUUUUUGUGUUUUAAAGACGGCGCUUAUUGAUUAAGAUAGAAAUCCUACAUGUAGAUCUGAUUACAAGAAUACUGUUUUUUAUCUAACUAUGUAAACUUAGCCAGUUGAACUAGCUCAUAUAUCUAAGGUUAAUGAGUGUAGAAAACUAAUGAGGAAUAAGUUCUUGAUUUUAUAUGUAGAUUCAGCCAAUAGAGGAGAUUGAUUACCACAUAAAAUACUCUAGUAAUGAGAUGUGAAACCUGUAGGCUGUAAUAAUUAAUGUUUGUUUGUCAUAUAUCCUCCAUCAUGAAUAGAUUCCUGAGCCAAGUCAUUCUUUUCAUUCCAUGAAUAAAAUUGGAAAGGAACACAAUCUGCAUUAUUUUGUUCUCUCUAUAUUUAUAUGCCAUUACAGCAAGUAUAUAGUCUCUAUCCUAACCAGUAUUUUUUUUUUCUGAUCUUCCCGUCUCAGUCUUUAAUGUUGCAGACUAAGAGGCAAUUCUCUUCCUGCUGUGGUGAGUGCUGACUGGACACACACACACACACACUUCCUGCUCAUUGCACAACAAACAUCAAGAAGCAAAAUUUCUUUCUAUUUGGGAACAACGGCGGCCAGCAGAACAUUUUCUUUAGGUUUUUUUAUGAUAAAGUGCUUGUGUUCAAGUCCAGAGCUUGAAUACAAAACCUCAUUUUGUCGCACCAAGCAUUCACCCUUUUUUGUGUUGAGAUUCAAAUUAUGUUUCAGCAGAAGUUUAGACAUGUAUAACCUCAUUGUUUAACAAAGUGAAAGCUGUGACUUACAUGAAUAGUUUAGUUUUGCCCAAGCGAUCAUGGAAACAAUUUUGGAAAUAAUAGAUCAGCAAUCAAUUUCAAUCCAGGGGAAGGCUAUGUUCUUGUUUUCUCUCGUGAUUUUCUUGUGGAGUGCCUUUUAGUCUUGUCAACCUCACCACUUACUGACCAGAAAUCCAUGGUGUACUCGAGCCAGAAAGCAGUUGCUACUUGCGUUGUGCUUUAAUUGGCACCUUCUUGUGUUUCAAAAUAUGGUUUACGAUUAAAGAGGACAUCUUGCUUGUUUUACUCCACACACUCUUUAAUUUAAAUGCUCUGCUAGACACCUUCCUGUUCUUCAAGUUCGUACUUUUCAUACUUUAUUGUUUUUUUUUAAUGGCUAUGUGUAUUGACAUUUUGUCAAAUUUAAUCCUUGAUGUUAUGUAAUAUAUAUUGCCAACAAAGCCAUCUUGUUGAAAUACAUUAUUAUUAUUAUUAUCAUAUCCUUUUCAAAUCUUAAUUUUACAUCCAUCCCUGGCCUGGUUCUCCUCCUCUGCCUAUGCCUAGUAGGGUAUUGUACCAGCUUUCUUUCUAACUGCAUGGCCUCUAUCAUCCGUGAUCUGCAUAUAAAGAUUAUCAUUCAUUUUCCUAAAGCUACCCACUCCAGUCUACAUUUAGGAAAUUCAAAUCAAUUUCAACAUCACCAAGCAUCCAAUUGAAGCUUCCUUCAAACAAAAAUCAAGGUAAAGACCUUCGAGUUCUUUCGCCAUCCAAGGGCAAUCUUUACAACACACAUCUUCAGCCAAAGCUUUGUUGAAAACGUCUAAUGGCUUUUAUCUUUCCCAGCCCGCCAAAAAUGGCAGAAAAAAUGUCGUCCCGCAGAAGUUGAGGCGAAAGUCCCAUUGGAAUUCUUCAUUUACAGCUCGGUUAUGAUAUUCAAGCUCAUAAGAUUGGCAAAGGAUGAUUAAGGGAAUGGUGUUAUUAGGCAGACCAUUGGUGACACGAACUUGAUAUCUGGGGGAGAAAAGAUGAGAAAUCACCUGAAUAUAUGGGGGGGCAAAACACAAUGAACUAACUCCUACACGGAAAACUCUUGCUGGAUAUUUUAGAGCCCGAAAACAAAAUAGUAGUUUAGAUACAAUUAUGCCUAAUCAGAUGAUGUAAUUCCAGAUUCCAGCCAAUCAACUUCCUGACUACAGAAUUCCUAUGUACUUGGGAAUUUUAGGCAUAUUUGGGUGAGAAGAGGACAAAAUACUUAGGUUGUGUUUGGAUUGCAUUUUUCAUAGAAACAUUACUGUAGCGAUUUGAUGUAUGUGAGGGAAAAAGGUAAUAGGAAAAUGUGAUUACGAAAAACGACGUAAUUUUUCGACGAAAAACAGCAAUCCAACACAAGACCUUAGGUUUUUAUAUAUACUUAAAAAAAACUCCACACUCAUAUCUACUCAAUAAUCAAUUACACAAAGAUAACAAUAGAUAGCAAGCCAAAUUCCUAAUGCGUGCAUUGAAAUGUCAUCUAUCUAAUCAUAUCAAGGCUUUAAAUUUAGAACUUUAUUAUUUUGAGUCGCCGAAAAAUGACAAAUAUUGGGGAUGGAGGUAUUGAUUAGUAAAGUAAACAUAGGAAAUACAAAGAAAGCAAGACAGAAGGAAAAAGAAAAUUCGUAAUGGUAGCUUCCUAUACCAAUUAGAUAUAUGUGUAUAGUUACAUAUAUGUAUUCUUUAUUGCUCAUCAGAUACUACAUUUUUCAUUCCAUAAAAUAAGUAUACAUUAGUAUUUUGGGAAUUUACAUAUUUUGUCACAUUUUUAAUGUUAUACUUCUUUACACUACGUAAUAGAGUGACACAUGUUCCUUUAUUUUACAUUAAGGAUAGUUGCGGAUCAUGUAAGAAUAGUUGGUGGAUGAUGUCUUCUGGCUAAUAUUACGUCAAAAGGCACCAGCUCAUGUAAUUCUUUUUCACAAGAAAAGUGCAAUGGCUGAGUUUGUUCAUGAGAAACCAGCUCAUGAAAUUCUUUUUCAUAAAUGACCACGUGGAUUCUCAAACCUGCAGAGAUUAUAAAGCCAAAGGCUACCAGGUGUAUAUACACAAGCACAAAUGGAGAGAUUCUGGAAUUCGUCCACGAAAAUAAGGAGUCAUUCUCUUGUUUUACAAUAAGAAGCCAAAGAUCAAUAUUCCAAGAAAUAUUCCAAGUUCAAGAGACAGGUUUGGAAGGACCAAAACCUUUAGAGAAGUUCAAAGAAGCUGCACAACAAGUGUGCAUGACAGCCAAAAUAAUGACUACUAUAGACACCAAGGCUGAUAUAAGGAGUAGGAGGUCAAGCAUAAUUGUUUCUAACAAUCUGCAGGUAUAGAAUCAGUCUUCAACAGUCUUCCAUCCAUGGACACGAGACAUUUCAUGUUUGGAACACAAGAGACAAAGUCUUGGGGAGCGCAGAGCCGCAACACAUUUAAACUGUUCUCAAAGAGCAAUUGAUAUUAGUACCAUGAAACACAUUGUACAAGGGAUGAAACAGCAUAGGAUUCACUGCACUUCAUGUCAUAUAGCAACAGAUAAUCACCUCAGGGCCAUAAAUUAAUAUGAAAUGCAGUUUUUCCUAUUUAAAAAUCCCCAUCAGAAGGUUGAUGAGUACUUUAUGGCUUCUUUAGCUGAGGACAAGCAAGACAAUUCCAAGCUGUUUAUUUACUAGUAUGCCAAACCAAAGCGCUAACCUUAAUCUUGGUUCUCACAAAGAACAAUAAAAAAAAUCCAGAUCUUAUUAGACCUCCCAAUUUGCCCAAAACUAAGAAAGAAAAACUAAUUGAUCAGUGACAAGAUGGCAUGAAAAGUAUAGCAUAUAGCUACAUACUAGGUUGGCAAAAUCUAUCUAGCAACUGAGACACUAGAUUUUAUUUUCUAAACUAAACAGUAGCAAGAGAGACUUUACAUUAAGUGCAAAAUGAGAGCAAAAAAAAUACUAGUUGGAGGAAGGAAUGAGAUAACACUGAGCACUUAGAAGUCCAGAAAUCCCAAAUCGCUUGAUAAAUAAUUCCAAAUUGCUUCACCAACAAGUCCAAAUUUGAAAAUUUGAAUGGACUAACAGGGAAUACUUGAUUUUAUGCAAGACAAAUACUGGAUUUCAUGAAUGGAAUCUAAGCGAUGAGUUUACAGGGAAGCUCUGAAACUAGGAAAUGUUCAAAUUUUUUUUGGGGGGGGGGGGGGGGAGUGGAGGAAACUCAAGAGUCUGGCAUUUGUGUCUUAAGUUGGGUUUGUUUGAUUACAGCAGGUUGAAGUUCUUUUUCUUGCCAGGGCGAGGGCUGCUUUGGCUGGAGUUUGCAGCAACCAGGCAAAGAGCUUUGAGCUUCAACGGGCUUUGUGCCUCUGUUUUCUUGUUCUAGUUUGGACAAAUUUACCUGUUUUCUUGAACUACAAAUUGUUCAAGGCCUAAUAAGCUAGCAGUACUAGAGAAUUACUGGCGUUCUCCUGGUAGAAAGUCCUUUUUUCUACUAUGGACGUCAUAGUAUCAACAAAAGUCACAGUGAUUUGGAGCUAAAUUACACUUUUGCAUCAUGAAUAAACUGUCAAAGAAGAACCACUCGAAUGUAUGCAAUUUUAACAUCGUACAAAAGUGAACAUGAAGCCAGAAGAGAGAUUAGUCCCUAAUUCUUCUGUUGUUGUAUUCCCAUUUUACCUUAAAGUUGGCAAGCGACGAGAUUGAAACCAAUUACAGGGUCCACCUGUUGCUAAAUGUAUACUGAUUUAUCUUCAAUUUGUGAUCAUGGAAGUAGCUUCACUAUCUCAUGCUUUCUUGUAUAGAUACUCCUUUACUUUAUUUCAUGCUUGUACAGAGAAGUUGAUGGUUAGGCAUUCCCCUUAUCUGGUGUAUGUGAUUUUGCUAUCGAUAAAGAUAUAGAGAUUACAUAAAAUAAAUAAGAAGAUAAAUAAACACACAAAAAAUAAUGCAAUUUUGAGCUGCCGACUCUAACAUCAUCAGUUAUCAAAUGUGUUAAAGAAAGAAAAUGCUGCAAGAAUGAAAAUGUGCUAUAUAUAGUCGAGUGCCACAAAUGCAGAAUUAAGCUGUGUAGAUAACAAGAAUUGCAUCAGUUGGAAAAGGAGGACAAACCGUUUUUUUUCUUUUUUAAUCAAGAUGGUAGCUUGAUGGUAUUCAAUUGUCUCAUCUCGGUUUCUUACACCUCCUUCUUUGUUCUAUAGCAUCCUUCUCCUCCUUCUUUGUUCUAUAGCAUCCUUCUCCUCCUUCUUUGUUCUAUAGCAUCCUUCUCCUCCUUAGAGUAAGGCAAAACUAGGCUUUGUGUAUAAGGAAAGGCAUGAUAAACUUCUAUGUUUUGAUCUCGAAAUGGAAUAUCAACAUAUGCAGCAUUAUCUGGGUUGUAGCGUACCGACUUGGUGCCAGUUGACACUAAAACUUCACCGUCCUCUGACCGGCACAAUGGUCUAGAAAUCCCGCCAGGAUUAUUAAUCAGGAUAGCGAACUGCAUUUUCCACGAUUCUGUAACCCCAUAUAUCUCCAUCAUCCAAACAUCUGUAUGACCAUUAUCCACAGAACAAAGUAAACAAAGCUUUUCUUGGUAAACCUCCAAGACUGGCUCAAACAAAGAUUCAGAAUCUUCAUCACAUUUAAUUUCAGGUUUCUUCAUCUGUUCAGGUUUCUCUAUCCGUCCAUACGUCUCUGUUGUUAAAUCAAGGGAAACAAUAUCUCCACCAGCUUCUGCCUCCAGUGACCAAUGCAACUUCCCAUUCACAAAUGUACCAUCUACCCCCAGCGGAGGAUAACCACCUUGAAAAUCCCCUAUACGCUUCCAAAUUCCUUUCUUGGUGCUGUAGACCUUAACCUUAACCUUAACCUUAGGGACUUCGCCAUCCAUGGCCGUAGCAGCGCCUUGGUCAGCCUCGUACGCCACCGCUACUACUUUGUGAUCAUCCUCAAUCUUGUCAUAUCCAAAACCCCAUGAAAAUAUUAAGUACGUCACAACCGGUAAACCUUUAUCUUCCUCUACCCUAAUGCCUAAAUCCGGUACGAUCUUUGAUUUUCGAGUAGAUGGGUUCCACAAAAUUAUUUUAGUUCCGUCAAAGACAAUACAAACUAAUCCAUUACAGCAGCCCACAACUCUGACACCAGUAAAGGGAUUUUUAAAUGGUGGAUAAUUAAUGUCAACAGUUUCAGUAGUUGGUGCACACAAUAACGAGCUAAGAGAACACUGUUUGAGACGGCAUAAGUUAGGAUCCCACCACAAAAUAAGCACCCUUCGGCUGUCUGUUAAGCUAUUGAUCAAUUUUAGAUGGGCUCUGAUGAAUAUCGGGUCGUCAAUUAAUUCCCUCGCUUGCUUUGAAGCGCAACUGAAUUGCACGAGGUAUUUCAAUGGCAGCCCGGAGAGGAUCUUACACUGGACGUCAAAGGGAAGGUCGAAAAGGUUCUCAGGAGGGGAUCGCUUCUCGAAAAGGGAAGGAGGGGAUCGCUUCGGGAAUGCAAGUAUGUUUCCCAUCUGUUUUAAGUGAUUUGCUUUUCGGUUGGAGGAUCUUUUUGCUGCCAAGAAAGGAAGAAAUAGCUGGGCUAGUGUUUCAGAGGAUGCAUAUGACCUGUUGACUUUCCCGGUACCGGCAAAGACUCCGAGCGGGUUGAAGGCCGCCGGGCAAGUCAGUUGGACUACUGAGACUGGGAGUGCCAAAUUCAGUGUCCUUACGACUACUUAUGUCACAUGAUGUCAAGAAAAUUUAAAAUGAACAACACGUGCAAACUUAAAUAAUAUGACAGUUGGUAUAAAUAUAAAAAGGGAUAAUUUCAGAAACCUUCUUGAGAUUUUUAAUAAUUUCAUUUAGCUCCUUUAAAAUUUUAAAAAUUACACAUACCUCCCUUAUCAUUUCAAAUAAUAACACUGUCCUUAAAUAUUUUAAUGAAAUUCCCUUGUUUGUUAUGCUUAUACUAAGUAUACAUGACUUUUAAAAUUAUUUUUUCAUUCUUUUUCCUUCUUAUUCCUUUUUUUUUUUAAAUUUUUUUGCCAUUAAAACUAUAGAGCUACCACUAUUACCUCUAGUUUCUAUUGUAUCCAAAUAUCGAACUAGUGAUUUUUUUGAUGAGUUAACUUAUAUGUAAUUUAAUAUUUUUGCUGAUCUUUGUUUUCUAUUUUUUUGGUAUUAAAAUUAAUAAAAAAAUAAAAAAGAAAUGACCCAAAACUACUACUAAAUUAUGAUAAUUUCACUACUCGAAAAAUUCAUAAAUUCAAAAUAAAUUAUUUCAACAUUUUAUUUUCUAUCUUCUAAAUCUAAAUCCACAAUAAAAUAUCAUCAAAAAGACCUAUCAUAGUGAUAAAUUUAUUAAUAUAAUUAUUUAUUAAAUAAUUGGUAUGGACAUGAAAAAAUUUGGCACAUUUUCCUUAAAAUUAUACUAGAUAAUCUUAUAAUUGUAUAAGGAAAUAAAUUAAAACUCAUUAUACAAAGGUAUUUUUCGGUAUUCAUUCAAAAAUUUGAUCAAGUCAAUAUUAUUUUAAGAUUUUGUUAUUAUAACUAUCCAAUCAAAGGAGAUAGGUGUAAUUUUGUUACUAAAACGUAAGUGUAAUAUUUUUUUUAAAAAUAUGAAAUACGCUUAUAAAAUUUAGAUUUUCGCAGGCUCUAGUAAUUUCUAGAUUGAACAUUGAUAGAUUGAGAGUAAUUUGUAGCUUUUAAUUAUGUAUCCAUUGUCACAUUAAGAGUAAUUAUAGUAAUUCACAGUCAUUUGUAAACGAUCUCUGUCAUUUUCUUGGGAGUUCCUUUUUUGACUUUUUAAAUAACUCCUCACAUUAACCCAUCCCGCAAAGUACCCAAAGUGUGUGUACGUAAUCUAGGCCGGUCUCGGCGUCUGCUCUUACCUUACAGAAACAAUAUACAACUACAAGUACGUAUGUACUACUAAUCAAUGCUAACCAAACAACUACACUUAAAAUAGUUGUGAUCAAUAGUAUCUUAACGCUCUAUUUGGGCCUACAUUCAAAUUCAGACUUUUCAGUAAGUGAUUAAGUCACCCCGCGUCCUCUCUUAACCUCUUUGGAUUCCUCUAAUAUGAGUGUGUUCGAUUGUAAAUUAUUUGAGAUAAUUUUGUGAAAAAAUACUGUAGUACUUUUUGAUAUGAUUUAUGUGGGAUAAAAAGGUGAUUCGAAAAUGUGUUGAUAAUAUAAGCAAAUCAGUGUGUGUAAAUAAGGUAUAAAUAAAGUGAAAUAAUUGACAAUCUAGACACACUCAUAGAGUAAAUCUUUCUUUCACUGACGAUGUAUGAGUAAAUCCUACAUGUAGAUCUGAUUACAAGAAUACUGUUUUUUAUCUAACUAUGUAAACUUAGCCAGUUGAACUAGCUCAUAUAUCUAAGGUUAAUGAGUGUAGAAAACUAAUGAGGAAUAAGUUCUUGAUUUUAUAUGUAGAUUCAGCCAAUAGAGGAGAUUGAUUACCACAUAAAAUACUCUAGUAAUGAGAUGUGAAACCUGUAGGCUGUAAUAAUUAAAGUUUGUUUGUCAUAUAUCCUCCAUCAUGAAUAGAUUCCUGAGCCAAGUCAUUCUUUUCAUUCCAUGAAUAAAAUUGGAAAGGAACACAGUCUGCAUUAUUUUGUUCUCUCUAUAUUUAUAUGCCAUUACAGCAAUUAUAUAGUCUCUAUCCUAACCAGGAUUUUUUUUUUCCUGAUCUUCCCGUCUCAGUCUUUAAUGUUGCAGACUAAGAGGCAAUUUGGUGAGUGCUGACUGGACACACACACACACUUCCUGCUCAUUGCACAACAAACAUCAAGAAGCAAAAUUUCUUUCCAUUUGGGAACAACGGCGGCCAGCAGAACAUUUUCUUAAGGUUUUUUUAUGAUAAAGUGCUUGUGUUCAAUUCCAGCGCUUGAAUACAAAACCUCAUUUUGUCGCACCAAGCAUCCACCCUUUUGUGUUGAGAUUCAAAUUAUAUGUUUAGUUUUGCCCAAGCGAUCAUGGAAACAAUUUUGGAAAUAAUAGAUCAGCAAUCAAUUUCAACCCAGGGGAAGGCUAUGUUCUUGUUUUCUCUCGUGAUUUUCUUGUGGAGUGCUUUUUAGUCUUGCCAACCUCACCACUUACUGACCAGAAAUCCAUGGUGUACUUGCGUUGUGCUUUAAUCGGCCCUUCAACAUGUCAUAAUUUGUGAUCUCGUGAAACCUGAAUGAUGCAUCAUCUGGAUUAUAGGGAAAAAACUGAUCCAGAAAGCAACAAAAUGUUUCGCCCUUCUCUAAUAGGCAGAAUGCUGGUGAUCAAGCAUUCAACACCAGAACCAUUUCAUAGAGGCAGAACAAGUGCUUCAUUCCAUAGUCUUUCAUCCUAUACUCAUUCAUCAACCAUAUGCUGCCUGCACUACUUGCAUUACCGUCCUAAAGCAGACAAAGAAUGCCUCCCAAACUCCUUAUGCUAAACCACAACCACCAUCCUCCUUUCAUAAUUAGGUAGCUUCCCGAAAUCAAUGUACAGAAGGCCAAAUCAAAGCAGCCAAUAAACCUUCCCGUGUGCAACAACAUGCCUGAGCAGUCCAAACGAACCCAGAGCUCUUGUAAACCCCCGUAAGACUUCAUAAUCAUCGCCGGACUCAUCAUAAAUAAAUCGAAAAGUAUACUCCUAAUUAGGCUAAACUGGAAAACCAGACCUGGUCGACUGCUUAAAUUUUCUAAAAUCACGGGUCCCAGAGAGAUAAAUCAUCCCUAUCCUGAAUAUAUACAUCAACUCAAAGCAAAAACACGAGAAAUUUGUUUCAUUGGGUGUCAAUGUCAAUUACAUUGGUGAUUGGUGCAGUUGGUAAAGAUUGAAAAGUACCGUCCUUGAAACAAACAAUUGGUCAGCAAUUGCUAAACAUGAGCUUAAGAUGGCUCUAAUCAUGCUUAUCUAGGGAAAUUUUGAGGAGGAAGGAGAAGGAGAGCGAGGAGGAGGGAGAAGGAGGGAGGUGGCGGUGGCGGUGGCGGCGGCGACGGUGGAGGGAGAUGGGUGGUGGUGGGUAGUAUUUUGAGAUGUUGUGUUGUUUAGAGUUAUGACUAUAGAUUUGAAAGACAAAAUUGGUUUAUCAGAAACAUCGCCGAAGUUUUUUAGGCGCACUCCAAUUUUGAGAGAGACUUUACUUGGGAGUCUUUAGAGCAUUUAAGCGAUGAGUUUACAGGGAAGCUCUGAAACUGGGAAAUGUUCAGAUUUUGGGUGGGAGUGGAGGAAACUCAGAGUCUGGCAUUUGUGCCUUAAGUUGGGUUUGUUUGAUUACAGCAGGUUGAAGUUCUUUCUCUCGCCAUGGUGAGGUCUGCUUUGGCUGGAGUUCGCAGCAACCAGGCAAAGAGCUUUGAGCUUCAACGGGCUUUGUACCUCUGUUUUCUUGUUCUAGUUUGGACAAGUUUACCUGUUUUCUUGAACUACAAAUUGUUCAAGGCCUAAUAAGAUAGCAGUACUAGGGAAUUACUGGCGUUCUCCUGGUACAAAGUUCUUUUUUCUACUAUGGACGUCAUAGUAUCAACAAAAGUUACAGUGAUUUGGAGCUAAAUUACACUUUUGCAUCAUGAAUUAACUGUCAAAGAAUAACCACUCGAAUGUAUGCAAUUUUAACAUCGCACAAAAGUGAACAUGAAGCCAGAAGAGAGAUUAGUCCCCCUAAUUCUUGUGUCGUUGUAUUCCCAUUUUCAAUGACGGAGCCAAGGGGGCUGAGGGGGGCUAAGUUGUGAAAAUUUUAAUUCAUAAUAUGUAAAUAUAUGUAUAAGACAAAGUUGGUCCCCGUAAUGUAAAAAAUGUUACAGUAAUCAUUUCAAAUAAUACUCUAUCCAAAUAAUAUUCCAUUUCAAGAUCAAAACAUAAAAGGUUAUCAUGCCUUUCCUUGUACACAAAGCCUAGUUUCGCCUUACUCUGAGGAGGAGAAGGAGGCCAUGAGACAAAAGAGGGGGCAAAAGAAAGGGAAAAUCGUCCAAAACGUCCUUCACAUUUUGUAAAAUAACUUUUUUCGUCCCUCACUUUUAAAAGUGUAAUUUUAUAUCCCUUACAUAUUCACAUCGGACAAAUUUAGUCCCUAACUAGGUUUCCGAUCAUUUUUUGGCCGGAAUCCAUCAUGUGCAAGGCACAUGAUCAUUUUUGAAGAGUAAAUUAUAUUUUACAUAAUCUCAUCUAUAGUCCUCCACAUUUUAUAAAAUAAAUUUUUUCGUCCCUCACAUUUUAUAAAAUGAUUUUUUUCAUCCCUCACAUUUCACAAAAUGAAUUUCUUCAUCUCUCACAUUUCACAAAAUGAAUUUUUCAUUUCUCACUAAUUAUGUGUGUGAAUACAUUUUUUUAAACACACAUAUAUGUCUAUUUGAUUUUGCUUAAUAAUAAUAGUAUAAACACAUGUAUGUAAUUCGGCUCAACUUGUGGGCUAUUUUCUUUUUUUUUGUAUGAUUAUGACUAAUAUUUACCAAUAGAAUCUUAAUUUGCAUAUUCUUAUUGUAUUUUGACCGAAAAUAGCUUUAUUGGCUAAUUUGACAAUGAAUGCAAGAUUAUUUAUUAGCUAAUACCAGAUGAAAUCAAAUGAUCACGUAUAAUAUAUGGUAUUCGUAUUGUUAAGUGAAAUCAAAUAGACACAUACAUAUAUUUAUACUAUUCGGAUUAUUAAGCAAAAUCAAAUAGACAUAUACUUGUGUUUAAACAAAAUAUAUUCACACACAUUUUUUUUAGGGUUUCCCUCACAUACAUAAUUAGUGAGGGAUGAAAAUAUUCAUUUUUUGAAAUGUGAGAGAUGGAGAAAUUCAUUUUGUGAAAUAUGAGGGAUGAAAAAAUCAUUUUAUAAAAUGUGAGGGAUGAAAAAAUUUGUUUUAUAAAAUGUGGAUGACUAUAGAUCAGAUUAUGUAAAAUAUAAUUUGACAAAUUUACCCUUCAAAAAUGAUCACGUGCAAGGCACGUGAUGGAUUCCGGCCAAAAAAUGAUCGGAAACCUAGUUAGGGACUAAAUUUGACCGAUGUGAAUAUGUAAGGGACAUAAAAUUGCACUUUUAAAAGUAAGGGAUGAAAAAAGUCAUUUUACAAAAUGUGAGGGACGUUUUGGACGAUUUUCCCCAAAAGAAACAGAUAUGAGACGAAUGAAUACCAUCAAGCUACCAUCAAGCUGCUUGGCUAGACAAAAAAGAAUACCAUCAAGCUACCAUCUUGAUAGAAAAAAAAAGGUUUGUCCUCCUUUUCCAACUAAUGCAAUUCUUGUUAUCUACAAAGCAUAAUUCUGCAUUUUGUGACACUCGACUACAUAUAGCACAUUUUCAUUGUUGCAGCAUUUUCUUUCUUUUUAACACAUUUGAUAACUGAUGAUGUUAAGAGUCAGCAGCUCAAAAUUGCAUUAAAAAAAGCGUUUGGAUUACAAGAUUUUUUAAAAAAAAAAUUUAAUUUUGUUUUGCUUGCAUCACACACACAAUUUUCAACCACCUUUGUAUUUUACAUGUAUCACAUCACAAAAAAUCACAAAAAGUGUUACAGGAUUCAUCUCAAAUAAAUAUUUCAAAUAACUUCCCAUAAUUAUUUUUUGUGUGUUUAUUCAUUUUCUUGUUUAUUUUAUGUUAUCUCUGUAUAGGCAAAAUCACAUACACCAGAUAAGGGGAAUGCCUAACCAUCAAAUUCCCUGUACAACCAUGAAAUAAAGUAUCAGCAUCUAUACAAGAAAGCAUGAGAUGGUGAAGCUACUUCCAUGAUCACAAAUUGAAGCUAAAUCAGCAUACAUUUUGCAACAGGUGGACCCUUUAAUUGGUGUCAAUCUCGUUCACUUGCCAACUUUAAGGUAAAAUGGGUAGUGAUGGAGCCAGGAGUUUUUACUUGGGAGGCCAAAAUUUUUUCGAACAAAAUUAUCUUAAUAUGUUAUGUUCAAAAUAAUUUUUAUUUAUUUAAAUAUGUAACAUCUUAAAAUAUCAAACAUUAAUUUUAUGUAUAAAGGUAUGUCUAUUUCAUAAAUAUGUAACAUAGUCAUAACUAAAUUAAGACAAGAAAUAACAUUUGAUUAAAUAUCUUAUAACAUCACAAAUCACCUAAGUUGCACAUUAUGAAAAGACGUUCCAAUAUGUCACUUGCGCAAAAACAAAAAUAUAACGAUGCAAUAUAAAUAUAACUAUUUUCAAUUUAAAAAAGAUAAAAGUUAUGUUAAUAUACCUUGAAAUUUCAUCCUCUUUUAUUAAAAGUAAAUUGAGAUUUACAUUCUUUUAUAGAACUAAAUUCAUGUAUAAUUGAAUCAAUGCUAAAUUUUUGAACAACUUCCUUUUUUUAUGUACAUUGUUAGGCAAUCAUUCAAGAAAUUAUCUUUUAUCUUGUUUUGGAGCUUUGUUUUGAUUAUAUUCAUAAUUGAAAAUGUCCAUUCUAUAGUUGCAGUUGACAUAGGAAGAGUGAGAACAAAUAAUUGUCAACAACAGGAUAGAUCACUCAAUUUCUUGUCUUCACCAAGCCUUCAAGUAAUUAUUUGUAUAUUUGUAUAUGGGUCAACAAGAGUAUAGAUCACUAAUUUUAAAUUUUUUAUCAAUUAGGCUAAGUUGUAUAUUUGUAUAUGGACCAAUAAAAUAAUUAUUUUUGUUUUAGCUCAUUGAUAAUUAUGAAUUGAGUCUUUUAUUAUAAUAUAUCAAAUUGGGUCAAUUUACUAUGGAUUAUCAAAUUAUAUAUUUUAUUUUUUGAAUGUUAAAUAAUUAGCACAAUAAAAAUAAAUAACUUUUUUUGAAGAAAAAAUUAAAUCAAAGAUGGCUGAUUCAUACACACACACACACAUAUAUAUAAACUCUAUCGGAAUAUAAACUAAAAUCGUAAAAAAUUAGAGAAGGCCAACUUUGUCUUAUACAUAUAUUUACAUAUUAUGAAUUAAAAUUUUCAAAACUUAGGGCCAUAGCCUUCCUCAGCCCCCUUGGCUCCGUCAUUGGUACUAGUGGUGUACAUGGAUCCCGAAGGCGUUAAGUUUAAGGUCUAUAGUUCCAAGGAUGGAACCUGGAAGACUAUAGAGUAUUUUCAAGGUGGUUGCCCUCCGGUGGGGUACUGUGGUAAGUUUGUGAAUGGGAAGUUGCAUUGGUCACUGGAAGGAGAUGCUGGUGGAUAUAUUAUUGAUUCUCUUGAUUUAGCAACAGAGAUGUAUGGACGGAUAGAGAAACCUAAAAAUUGGCUGUGAUGAAGAUUCUAAAUCUUUGUUUAAGCCAACCUUGGAUGUUUUCCAAGAACUCCUUUGUUUACUUUAUCUUGCUAAUGAUGGUCGUACAGAUGUUUGGGUUAUCAACACAGGGGUAUCGAGUAGAGAUGGCAACGGGGCGGGGUUGGGGCUGGGGAGAGGCGGGGUUGGGGCGGGGGACCUCUCCCCCGCCCCCCGCCCCGUUGCCUAUUAGUUCCCCCCGUCCCCCGCCUCCCCCCGCCCCCACCCCGCCUUGCCCCGCUUCUCCCGCGGGGUUAAUAUAAUUUUAUUAUAAUUAAAUUUUAAUAAAUAACCAAGUACUAAAAUAUCAACACAUCACCAAAUUAUUAUUCAUUGUAAUUUUACAAUUGAAACUCAUAAAAAUAAUCAAACAGAAGAUAUUUGAAUACUAUCCAAUAUGAUGAAAUAAAUAUAACUAAAAUAAUCAAGUUUUCACUUUUAGUACAAAUGCAAUCACUAAUUCAUUAUUGUGUUUGUACUUUUUUUUGAGAAAAAAGUGUUAUUCUAUUAAGCGUAAUUAGAAAUUUAGUAUAAAUGUAUUAGUAAAUUUAGUACAACUAAUUAAUAAAUUCUAUUAGUAGACAUCUAUAAUUAUUCAUAUAUCAAUUAUAUUACAUAAACUAAUAUACAUUAUAUAAUACAUCUAACUAAUAAUAUCAUUAUUAUAAGUUUAUAACUAAUUAACUUACAUAUUAUAUAUAUUUAUAUACAUAUAUAUAUUUUUUGUUUUGCGGGUGACGGGGCGGGGGUAUACUCCCCCGCCCCGUUUCUAAGCGGGGGGAAAAAAUUCCCCCCCCCCGCCCCGUGAGCCCCCGCGCGGGCACCCGCCCCCAUUGCCAUCCCUAGUAUCGAGUCAUUGCCGGACUAAUCCCCUGGGCUGUACAGAGUCCCGCCCAAGAAUGUACAGCAAUUUCGUGCAGCAAAAUUCGAACUAGUGACUUACGAGAUACUACCGCAUGUGGUCACCAACCGAGCUCCCUGUUGGGGGCUAAAGUUAGUUAGACUACUGGGUGCCAAAUUUCUACUACUUAUGUCACAUGAGGUUUUUAGAAACCUCCCUUGAGGUUUUUAAUAAUUUCCUUUAGCUCCUUUAACAUUUUAAAAAUUACACGUACUUCCCUUGUCAUUUAAAAUAAUAAUACUGCUCUUAAAUAUUUUAAUAAAAUUCCCUUGUUUGUUAUGCUUAUACUAAGUAUAAUGACUUUUAAAAUUAUUUUUUCAUUCUUUUUCCUUCUUAUUAUUUUUUUUAAAAAAAUUUUUUUGCCAAUAAAACAAUAGAGCUAUCACUAUUAUCUCUAGUUUCUAUUAUAUCUAAAUAUCGAACUAGUGAUUUUUUUGAUGAGUUAAAUUAUAUGUAAUCUAAUAUUUUUGCUGAUCUUUGUUUUCUAUUUUUUUUGGUAUUAAAAUUAAUAAUAAUAAAAAAGAAAUGGCCCAAAACUACUACUAAAUUAUGAAAAUUUCACUACUCGAAAAAUUCAUAAACUCUAAAUAAAUUAUUUCAACAUUUUAUUUUCCAUCUUCUAAAUCUAAAUCCGUAAUAAAAUAUCAUCAAAAGUAUCCUACCAUGGUGAUAAAAUUAUUAUUAUUAUUUUUUUAUUAAAUAGUUGGUAUGGACAUGAAAAAUUUGGCACAUUUUCCUUAAAAUUAUACACGAUAAUCUUAUAAUUGUAUAAGAAAAUAAAUUAAAACUGAUUACACAAAGGCACUUUUGGGUAUUCAUUUAAAAAUUUGACCAAGUCAAUAUUAUUUUAAGAUUUUGUUAUUAAAACUAUCAAAUCAAGAGAGAUAGGUGUAAUUUUGUUACUAAAACGUAAGUGUAAUAUUUUUUUUUUUAAAUAUGAAACAAACUUAUAAAAUUUUAGAUUUUUGCAGGCUCUACUAGUUUCUAGAUUGAACAUUGAUAGAUUGAAAGUAAUUUGUAGCUUUUAAUUAUGUAUCCAUAGUCACAUUGAGAGUAAUUCAUAGUCAUUUGUAAACGAUCUCUGUCUUUUUCUUGGGAGUUCUUUUUUAACUUUUUAAAUAACUCCUCACAUUAACCCAUGCCGCAAAGUAUCCAAAGUGUGUGCGCGCAACUAACGUAGGGCGUCUUCUCACACUUGACAGAAACUAUAUAUCAAUACAACCACUUUAGUACCACUAAUCAAUGCUGACCAACCAACGACAAUUAAAAUAGUGGCGAUCAUUAUCAAUAGAGUCUCAACGCUUUAUUUGGACCUGCAUUCAAAAUUCAGACUUUUCAGAAAAGUGAUUAAGUCACCCGAUUCCUCUCUUAACCUCUUUGGAUUCCAACAACACAGUACUACCUCCGUCCCACUUUAAUAGUUCUGUUUCUUUUUUCACACAGUUUAAGAAAAAAUAGUUAAUUUUGUUGAAAAAAUAAAUUUAGAUUGCUAUUUUUCUAAAAUAUCCUCAUAUAAAAUAUGGUACAACUUUAUGGGAACUUGAAUUGAUGGUAACAAAAGAAUCAACUCUCAUUAAAUGGGAUAGAUUUAUAGUAACAACUACUUACAUUGAAUAAGAGUAUUUUAGGAAAAUUAAAAUACAGCUAUAUUCUUCAAUUGAAAAGUGGACUAUAAUUUGGGACAGAUGAAAAAGAAAUACAGGACUAUCAAAAUGGGAGGGAGAGAGUAUUAGAUAAAAGAUAGUUGUAUAAUAGAAUUUAUCGUAUUAAAAAAAAAAAAUCAAUGCUGGCCGUCUUGGGUUUGGACUACUGUUCAUAAAAUGUAGAGGUGUCAAAAUGGGUGACUUGGACGGAUUGGGGUUGGGUAAAAUGGGUAAUGGAUAUAAGUGAGUCAAUUCAUUUAUACCCAUUUAAUUAGAUGGGUAUAAAUGGGUAAGUCAAAAAAUGAAUUGGGUAACCCAAUUACCCAUUUAUAGCUCAUUUAUUUUAAUUUUUUGCAAACUCAUUUAAAUUCAUUUUUGCAAACUAAGUUAUCAAUUUAUACCACUCUUUGUACCCAUCAUUAGUUUUAAAUAUUUAUUUAUAAUGCUCAAUAAACUUAAUUACCAAUUUUUUUUCAUUUAUACUCUAUGUCACAAAAUUACCUAUUAUUUAAUAAUUGAAUAAUAUGAAUAUAAAAAUUUGAAUUAAGUACUAUAAAAAUUAAUAUAAAAACUUAAUCCAAAAAUUUUGAACCCCUAACAUUUUUUUCAUAUAUAAAUUUAAAAUUUUAUUUUAUAAAGAUAAGAAAAUAGGCUAAAAUUUAUCAUAAAUUGGUAAUGUUAAAAAAUGAACAAGUUAACAAACUAAGAAAAAAUAAAAUAAUAAGAUAAAACCAACAAAUAAUAAUAAUAAUAAUAAUAAUAAUAAUAAUGUUAACAUCAUGACAAAAUGAAAAAUUUGAAAAAAAAAAGGGUAGGGGAAAAGAAGAGACUUGGGGGGAAGAGAAUUUUAAAUAUGUUAAUUGGGUUUGAUGGGUUAUCCAAUAAUACCCAUUUAUUAAAUGGGUAUUAUUGGGUAACCCAUUUAUACCUAUAUACAAAAAUUUAAGAUACCCAUACCCAUCUAUUCAUGGAUGGGUAUGGGUAAAUCUAGUUAAGUGGAUUGAUUUGCCACCUCUAAUAAUAAAAUGACUUAAAAGUGGAGGAGAGGGCUGAAAGAAUUGCGGAGGCCGAAAGAGGCUGUGUAAAAAUCGCUUGGUAUCUUUGCAGUAGUCAUAGGGCAUGCAUUUUUGUCCGAUCCAAUUCAUCUGUCCUAGUUUGGCAAAGUUGAGUUGAGCAUAUGCUGGAGAUGUCCACCACCAGUUGCCAGGGAAAGGCAGGGCACAUUGCUAAGUGGUCCAUUCCAUGUGCAAGCCCUUGGUCUAAAAUUGCGGAUUCUAAGUCAGUCGCUAUGGUGCAAAUUCUAAAUCUGCACGGUAGCGACUGACAACUUAUUUUAAUUGUCGGCCGCUAUCGUGCGCAGUCAGCAUGGUAGCGAUUGGAUUGAUGGUUUUAUAAAAAAAAUUUUCAGUCGCUAUUAGUUUUGUGCAUAACCCUUGUCAGACAUACAUUUUAUCGAAUUUUUUUUUUUGGUAUAUUCUGAGAAAUUAGGUCAUUCCAAUUAGGUCGCUCCAACCGAAUUUUGGACAAUGAUGAAAUAAAAGUCUCAUUUGAUAGUUACUUUUAAGAGUUUUUAUAAAAAAAUUUAUUAUUAUACUCGAAGUUAAAAAAAAAAAAAAUUGAGAAAGUACUAUAUCAUAACCAUACCAUCUCCGUCAUAGCUUUUAGUGACUUAUUCAUUAGUCAUUUUUAUAUCGGGGGAGUGGUUAAAUUUCAAUUGCCAUUGGAACUCGUGGGAGAAAGUUUUGUGAUAUUUUCUUUUUAAUCGGAAAUGUACGAGUAAAUUUGUUGUAUCUUCAUAUCACGUAGGAUUGAAUACAUUAAUUAAUGUUUGUUUGGAUAAAAGUUUAUUUGGAUGAUUUAUUUGAGAUAAUUACUGUAGCAUUUGUUGUGAUAUGAUAUAUGUGAGAUAAAAAAGUGAUUGGAAAGAUAAAAAUGUGAUUGAAAUUUAUGAAGCAAAUUAUUUUUUUUCAAUCUAUCUCAAUCCAAACACAAACUAUGUGAAAAAACGUAGUACACCUACAAAACAGUAAAAUAGUCUUGCUGUGUCACACGGGGCGAAAUUCAAUGCCUUCGACAAUAAGGCCCGACUUCCCAUGAAGGCUAAUAAUCUCUAUCAGUCGAGCCUCCACCUGACCAUCAUCUCCUCUAUCAGUAUAAAACUUCCCCAGUUCUAAUUCCAUCCAGCCAUCUGUUCUCAUUUUGGGAAACUUUCCACCAAAUUCUGCUGGAUGAUUCAUACCUUCCCUUGAUACAAGAUGGACAGGUGCAGCUCUUCUUUUGGCCUCACCGUCACUCUCAUGGUUUACAAAUCUGAUUAAACUUGUUGCUUUUUCAAUCCCAUAAUACUCCUCUGCUAUCUUGAACACUAGGAAAGCUGCAUAAGUGGUACCAGUAGACAACAUUUGACUUUCUAUCCUGCCUCUGAUAUCCAGCCAACAAACAGCCUUAAGCUUGGCAACCUCUCUGAAUCUGCGAAUGCAAAAGAUUGGCACAUUAUAAUCACACUAGCAAAGGGGUUUGGGUGUGGGGGUGAUUGGAGAUAUGAUGAGGAAGAACCUUGAGUCAGGACGAGAUAUCCAAUGCCAGUACCAUGGAUCUCUUGCCCAGGCAAUGAUGAGUUCUCUAGCCCCAACCAUAUAACAUUUCUUUCCACUCCUUUUAUCAACUGAAAAGCCCUGUUCAAAAGUUCAAACCAAAUGGUCGCCAAGGGAAAAUGGAAAACCACAGAAUUACAAGUUAUAGCCGGAAAUGUAACAGAAAGGGGCGUUAACCGUGCAUGUAAGGUUUGUGGGAUCUAAGAGAACUGAUAGAAGUUGGAUGAGUGUGAUUAAAUUGCAGAGUUCUGAACAGGAGGCAAUUUGAUCACAAAUUUUGAGUCCGGACCACAUUGUUUUAUGUUGCCUUAAAUAUUCUUAAUAGCAGCGUGCAUUACGGAAGAGACGAAUCCUCUAUGGUUCUCCUUUCAUUUUAACACUUCUUCAUACAACCGGAGGAUGCCUUUCUUAAUUCCUACUUGGAUCAGGCUAAUUUUACUUCUGUCUUAGCUAUAACAGCACAAACAUUUGAUCAAGGUUUCAAGCACAAGAAAGAGUACAAACAUAUAAAUAAAAAAAAAAAUGCAUCACAUUAGACACAAUGAUUACUCUUGUCAAGUUUGAGAGCAAGAUAUUACUUCAAUGUCAAUGCAAAUAAGUUUUAAGUAUCAAAGAAAUCAAGAAAAUAAGAACUCAAUAAACAGUUAAUAUGGUAUCUCUAAGCUUUAUUUUUAACAUUUCACCUUAAAAGCUUACCCCAACAACUUUGCUAUAUGUAUUGAAUUGUCACAAAUUGUAAUUUUCUGAGCAAAUUCAUACUUCCAAAGAAUACCGGGGACUGUUGCCAUAACUUUACCUACUAGUCAGCCAAAAUCAAAUCAUAGAGAACAAUUUAUUAACUACAAAAUCCGAUAACAGAAACGGAUAAGGGGUACCAUUCUGCCUCCAUCAAGGAGAAGAGGAGAAUCACAGAGAGAAAAGUAGAGGGCCUUUUUGGUUGAGCAAUCAACAGCAGAAUCUGAUCUUGAAAUGAUAUCUUGAUAAUCAGAUGGUAGAAAUUUCUCCCAAAUAGUAUCAGAAUCAGCAGCAGGCUUGAACCCUUUUGAGACAACUGAUGCUCUGAUCACAUCCACAGGUGAAGUGAGUGAUAGAAUCUCAGAUAUGAAGCCUUCUGGCAAUCUGGCAAAAGGGCCUUCCAUCUCAUAGGACAGCUGCUAUUCCACUGUUCUUCUUGCUUAACGUGGAAGUGAUGACUAGCCGACUGAACAGAGGCAAAUUCUUAUAGAAAAUAGCAAAGGAAUAGAGAAUAGAGUCUUAGCAGUUUUGAUUCAAUAAUCUGUAAUAAUUUUUAUUUUUCACGUCCUCUAUUGGUUACAAAAUAUAUACACGUCCUGUCCUUUACUAACGAUUGAUUAAUAAACCUUAACCUUCUUUGUUCUGAUGAUGACAAUUCUCCACUCAUAGCUUCAAAUUUGGCCUUUCACAAGGAACAACUCUACUCUUUGGGACAACAAAUUCAUUUCAAAGAGGUUGUUGUUGCAUCAUCAUGCACGGCACGUCCUUAGAAAAUGAAAGGCCACAAACAAAGAAAUAAAGAUGUGUACAUCCACAUCUAUGGACUAUAUAUAUGACACUACUACUGAGGUUGUUGUUCAUUUCAAAGAGGUUGUUGUUGCAUCAUCAUGCACGGCACGUCCUUAGAAAAUGGAAGGCCACAAACAAAGAAAUAAAACUAGGAUUCCAAUUCCGUCCUCAUCAAGCUAUUGACAUUUGACAAAAACAAAACAGUUUUAUUACUUCCAAGGAAUCGGAUGGCUAAAAACAAUAGCCAGUUUGAUGACAGCUGGAUGCAAAAGCGAUGGCAUAUCAUGUUUAGUGACACUUGAAUACGAGAAUUUUUGCGCCAUUGAAAGCAACACUUAACCAAAAACCAGACCUGUCACUGCAAACACAGAUUGGCAUUGAUGCAGAGAUGCCAGAAAGAUUGGUCCGCGGGAUCAUGCGCCAAUUACUACGUGGGAUGGGACAGGGAUCAGUAUUCAGUAGUAGUGUCAUAUAUAUAGUCCAUAGAUGUGGAUGUACACAUCCACAUAGUCCAUAGAUGUGGAUGUACACAUCUCUGUUUGGCAAAGCUAGCUGCCAAGCUUAGCUCUCAAUCUUUUGACUGUCCUCCUGUUCUUUCACCGCCCAGCUUAUUUUUAACUUAAACUUUUCUGGUCAAUCUUUCACAUGCAUGGUUGCAAUCUUUUUCUUUUCUAAAAAAGAUUUAAGUAGUAGUAAACAAAUUGAUAUGGUGCAUUUUAGUGGAAUAUUUUGGACAUUAUUGUAUAAUUGUUUGAUUAAAUAUUUCAUUAAUUGAGUGAAUUCUACUCAGAUAUGAUUUUGGUGCUAAUUGUAGGAACUAAGACUAAAAAGUGCUUAAAAUCAAAAUUUAGAGAAUUCGUCGUACGUGGAGCACUUCAAACAGUGGGAUCCGCUUGAGAAGUUGAAGAAAUUAAAUUGUAAUAAAUUUUAUUUUAUUUUAUUUAGAGAAUCUUGUUUAUUUUGAAUGCCAAUUUCCGGUAAGAGGAGGCCUUUUCCUUGAAUUUUGGGGCUACCAAAACAAAAGGGAAGAAGUAUUAGAUUCCCAGGGAACUGCUUGUUUUUGGGGAGAUUUUCGUUUGGCUGAGGUUUCUUUUUUCGUUUUGCUUUUGAAUUUCGUGGGCCGUGGCUUUGAAAACAAUGAGGAGACAAAAGCCACCGGUGUUGACCUUGUGAAUGUUUUUUUUUCCAUUGGGUAUUGACGGAAUUGAGAAAGCAAGCAAAAACCCCUUUUUUUUUUUUCUCGUACGUUUUGCUUAGCAACUAGGAGAAGCAAACGAGAGCCGCCAUUGUGGAUGUGGACCCUUUGACUUUGCUUUUCACUUGAUCUUGACCGAAAUUGGAAGACAACAUCAUAUCAUCUUAUUCGUAUGCUUUUGAGAACAAUCGGAAGCAAUCAAAUUUCUUGCGUUUUUCUCUUGUUGUUGACCGAAACUGGGAGAGGUGAUUUGAAAACGUUUCCAACUCCACACGCGCGGCUUGUUCUCUAAUUAUGGGAAACUAAACUCCUUAUUCUAGUCAGAGGAUGACUAACGAAUUGAUUCAAUAAUUACUGUGAGAUUUAAAUCAUUUUUAAUUAUUUUCUUUAUUUAUUGAUAUUUAUAUAUUCCCUGCUUUUAAUUGUUAUAGUCCUUGUGUAUGAUUGGUUAGUGCGUAAUAAUUAAUUAUUCAUAUAGGCUAUUUUGCUGAAUAGGGUAAUUAAAUCCGUAAUUAUUCGUUAUCUCUAUCUCAGUAGCAACUGGCGUAAUUAAAUUUAUGUUAGGAGAAUAUACAAUCUAAUUUAAACAAACCCUCGUAGUGUGUUUGUUAGUUAGGAUUGGACAUUUCUAAUUAUUAAUGCAAUCUAGAAAUUAAAUCCCACGGUCAUACCUAGAGUUAUUUUUGGGUUAGAGAAAUAGUUAACGGUCGUACCUUAACUAUCGAGAAAUUAAGGAAAGGUUGGUUGUUUAUCGCGUGUAUGACAACUAUAACCAAUCUAUUAAUAAAUGUGGAAUUAUCUGUGAAUCGAUGAUCAGUGCAUGAACCAUUUCUGAAGUGUACCCUUAACUAGAGUUCUCUUAAUUAUUUCUCUUAAGUAAUUAUUUUCUACAGUUAAUUUAUUUAGUUAGCAUUUAAUCGUGAAAACCCCCAUUUGUCUUGAUUCGAAAGGAAACAAAUUUUUCUCCAAUCCCUGAGGAGACGACCCUGCUUACCACUGUCUACUAGUUAGUGAAUUCAGUUAAAUAAUUAAUUCAGGUAUAUCGGAUUAAACAAACUUUUCGAGAACAGGGUGAAUCAAGUAACCCAUUACACACCUAAAAUCCCUGCUCGAAGUACUAGAAUUGAUUAUUGACUGCUUCAGGUGGUAGUUAGGUUUUAUUUAUUAUUAUUACACAAGUUUGAUACCUGUCACAAAUUUCACACGUAUAACUCCAACUUUUGAUUACUCACCGUCUUCGCCUUCACCAAUGAGAGUAGAUUAAACUUGUACUUCACAUAUAAUAUUCUUGUUAAUUCUGCCUUGUCAAAGAAUUCCUCCAUAUGGACCCAUUCACUAAUGAAAACCACCAUAGCUUCUCACAUGAUAAUUGUUCACACAAUUUCCAAAAAAACAUCAAAUCAUAUCUUUCUUUUUGCCAAUUAUUUGCAAUUCCACAACUCUUCAGAAGGAAAAAAGAAAAUAAUUAGUUUUGUUUUUCUUGUCCUACAGCCUAAAGCAGCCUAUGCUCCCUAUCGAACAUCAUAAUAAGCAUCAAUGUACCAAGAACAUUGCAUAAAACCCAAAACAUGUUUUGACAGUCCAUGGAAACAAAAAAAAAAAGAAACAAAAGAAAGAAUGAUAAAAAUGGUUCAAUAUUAUAAAUAACUAAAGUUAUGUUUGAGUUAGUUCUUAGAAUCCUUUAUUAAUAAAUUCAUUUUUUUUUUUUUACAUUUCUACAUAAUACUCUUGGGCUUUUAAAUUUUUGCCAUAUGCUUUUGAUAGUAAAAGCUAAAAAUUAUUAAGAACACCGGACUGUUAAUUCAGCUGCUAUAAAAUAGACGUGUACACCUAAAAGAAAUAUAAGUACACACAUAAUGAUAGUUCCCAAAAGCAUGGAGAAAGCUACGCCCCACAACUAAUAGGAAAAUUCUAUGGUCCAUUUAAGUGCCAUUCUCUUUACUUGUAUCCCUCUGGGGAUAAUAAUUUAAAUUUUUAAUUUUUAAUUUUAAUGAUGUUUAAUUUAAGAUUCAAUAACACUUCUUUCACCAUUCCACAAUGAAUUUCAUUUGUACAUUCCCUCUACUUGUAUCUGACUUGAGAUAAUAAAUUUAAAUUUUAAAUAUUUAAGAAUGUUUAAUCUAAAGGUUAAUAACACUUCUUUUACUAUCUAACGAUAAAUUUCACUUUUGAGUAUGAUACCCAAAAGAGACUGCAAAAUCUUCCCAAUUAAUAACUAGCUAAUGCUAGCCAAACUUAUUAUUACUGUCAAUGUAGGGAUAAGAAGAUUCUAGUAUCCGUUGAACGGUGCAUUAUACAUGUUAACGUAAUAGAUGUAGAUACUAAAACAAUAAAUGUUGACAUUUCAUUGAAGUAGAAUUCAUCUUGACAGGUGUCGAACCUGUGCAAUAAUAAUAAAUAAAACCUAACUACCACCUGAAGCAGUCAAUAAUCAAUUCUAGUACUGGAGCAGGGACUCUAGGUGUGCAAUGGGUUAUUUGAUUCAUUCUGUUCUCGAAGAGUUUGUUUAAUUCGAUAUACUUGAAUUAAUUAUUUAACUGAAUUCACUAACUAGUAGACAGUGGCAAGCAGGGUCGUCUCUUCAAGGACUAGCAAGAAAUUUGUUUCUUUUCAAGUCAAGACAAAUAGGGGGUUUUAGAAUUAAAUGCCAACUAAAUAAAUUAAAUGCAGAAAUAAUUAAUUAAAAAAAUAAUUAGGAGAGCUCUAGCCAAGGAUACACUUUAGAAAUGGUUCAUGCACUGAUCAUCGAUUCACAGAUAAUUCCAACAUUCAUUGAUAGAUUAGUUAUAAUUGUCAUGCACGCGAUAAACAACCAACCUCUCCUUAAUUUCUUGAUAGUUAAGGUACGACCGUUAACUAUUUUUUUAACCUAGAAACAACCCUAGGUACGACCGUAGAAUUUAAUUUCUAGAUUGCAUUAAUAAUUAGAAAGGUUCAACCCUAACUAAUAAACACGCUACGAGGGUUUAUUUAAGUUAGAUCAUAUGUUCCCCUGACAUAAAUCCAAUUACGCCAGUUGCUACUAAGAUAGAGAUAACGAACAAUUAUGGAUUCAAUUAUCCCUAUUUAGCAAAAUAGCCUAUAUGAAUAAUUAAUUAUUACGCACUAACCAAUCAUACACAAGGCUAUAGCAAUUAAAAGCAGGGAACAUAUAAAUAUUAAUAGAUGAAAAAAAUAAUUAAAAACGGUUUAGAUCUCACAGUAAUUAUUGAACCAAUUCGUCGGUUGUCCCACGACUAAAUUUAGGGGUUUAGUUCCCCAUAUUUAGAAAACAAGCCGCGCAUGUGGAGUUGGGAGAAGUUUUCAAAUCAAUUCUCCCGAUUUCAGUCAAAAACAGGAGAGAAACGCAAGACAUUUGAUUGCUUCCAAUUGUUCUCCAAAGCAUACGAAUAAGAUGGUCUGAUCACUGAUGUUAUCUUCCAAUUGCGGUCAAAAUCGAGUGAAAAAGCAAAGCCAAAGGUCCACAAUGGCGGCUGGCUUCCUAAUUGCUCACAAACAUACGAGAAAGGCUUUUGCUUGAUUUCUCAAUUCGAUCAAUACAAUUGGAAAAGCAAUUUGCCAAGUCAACAAUUGGGGCUUGUGUCCCCUGAUUCUUUUACAGAGCUACGGGCCACCCCAUUCAAAAGCUACAAAGAACGAAAAGAAACCUAAGCCAGACGAAGAAACCUAAGCCAUUGGGGCUUGUUGUUUUGGUAUUCAAAAAUAAAAACAAGACUCCCUAAAGUGAAAUAAAAUAAAGUCUAUUAUAAUUUAGUUUCGUCAACUUCUCAAACGGACUCCACUGCUUGAAAUGCUCCCGUACAAUGAAUCUUCUGAAUUUCGAUUUUAAGCAUUUUUUAGCAUCAAAUCUUGCAAUUGGUACUGAAGAAGCGCUGAACUUCCCCGGAUCGAGCUGACCCGACUAACUCGGCGUGCUGAUGGAAGAACUGGUUCUAAGCCUGCAAAACAGAUGAGAAUGAACUAGCAAUGGGGGGCCCGAGGAUUGUCCCCGAGGGCACUCCGACGGUCAAGUUAAUUUUCCGGUGAGUCCAGUUCACGAGAGUAAGCAGUCGAGAGCCGUUUGCCAAUAGUGAGCGUACCUCUUUUUCCCACGGUGUGAGUUACCUUUCAUACCUGCUGAGGGAGUCCGGCCUCCGUACGUUCCGAGACCUGUCCAGAAUAGUCCAUAUCCCGCACUCAGGGGGAUUCCCCCCAACCUCUGCGGGAUGGCCUCCCAGGUUUUCCUGGAGCCCUAACAUCAGCGCGGCCCAGGAUGGCUGGCAGGGGCCUGGGGCCGAGGCCCAGCUUCGGCCCUACCUGGGCUGCCACGUGUCUAGACCCAGGACAGGGCCUCUGCAGGUACCAAAAUCAUAUCUGAGAAAAAUUCACCAAAUUAAUAAAAUAUUUAACCAAAUAAUUAUACAAUAAUGCCCAAAAUAUUCUACUAAAAAGCACCUUAUCACAUCUCUAGGGAGUAGAUUAGUCUUAUUAUAUUUUAGGAUAGUUGGGGAACAUGCACACAAGCCUGUACGUGGAACAGUAUCGGCCCUUAGCAUAGGCUGUAGAGGAGAUUUUCGUGCAUGACCAUGUUUCAAAUGUCUUUUCAAAGUAAUGUGACAGAAAAAGUUGUAUUUUUAUUUUAUUUUAUUUUGUUGUUUCUUGAACAGACCUGUUGCAUUGGGUGAGAGCUGAAAAUAGACUUGCUUCUUAAGGUUCCAUAGCACGAGUUGAAAAAUGUAAUUUGAUAAAGGAUGCAGAGCAAACUUUGCAAUCAAUUCCAUGUCACAGAAUCUCAUUUAUCAUGGCCUCACUGAUCAUCACUUUGCAAUGACACAAAGGAUCUCACAGUCAAAUUUGAUAAUCACCAACUUACAGCAUCUGUUCUCUGAAGCCACCUCUAUUCACUUUUUCUUGGCUGAUUUCCAUUUCUACCAGGUUAAAAAUAUAUGUAUUGGUACUUGGUAGUCCACUAUCUCAGGUAGACGCUGUAAUAUCUUGGUGAUGGAUCAGAUAGAUUGACAAUGCCCUUAAACUUUACUCUGCAAAUAUAUUUGCAUCCUAGAAGUCCUCUUGGUGGCUUUGUUUGGAUUGCAUUUUUCUGGAUUUUUUUUUUUUUUAGAAAAAUUACUGUAAUGAUUUAAUACAUUUGAGGUAAAAAGGUGAUGGGAAAAUGUGUUUACGGAAAACGUAGCAAUUUUUCUUUAGAAAAUUGCUUUCCAAACAAAGCUAUUAAUAGAACAGGGCCCUUCAAAUAUCAUAGCAUAGCAAAGCUAGCUAUGAUCCUUUGUUCUCUUCUUAUUACAUAUUUCCUUAUUUACUUACAACCUUCCAGUGGCAAGCCCAAAAGCUGAAAGCAACAUAUACUUGCAAAAGGUAAAGCAACUUCCAGCAUCAUCAGUUAAUCCUGAAAUGAUAAAUUUGCAGAUUCUCGACUUCAAGUUUCUUGAAAUUACUGCGCCUUCUGGAUGAGAAGAACUUCCCCCAGUU
rnacentral:lncRNA from 1 species